rnacentral:rRNA from 1 species
GAUGAACGCUGGCGGCGUGCCUAAUACAUGCAAGUCGAGCGAACAGACGAGGAGCUUGCUCCUCUGACGUUAGCGGCGGACGGGUGAGUAACACGUGGAUAACCUACCUAUAAGACUGGGAUAACUUCGGGAAACCGGAGCUAAUACCGGAUAAUAUAUUGAACCGCAUGGUUCAAUAGUGAAAGACGGUUUUGCUGUCACUUAUAGAUGGAUCCGCGCCGCAUUAGCUAGUUGGUAAGGUAACGGCUUACCAAGGCAACGAUGCGUAGCCGACCUGAGGGGGUGAUCCGCCACUGUAACUCUGACACGCUCUCCAGACCCAUGCGGGGGACAAGAGUGGGAAAUCUUCCACAAGGGGCGAGAGCCUGGCAGAGCAACGGCGCGUGAGAGGUGAGUGUCUUCAGCGCAUAAAACUCUUUUAAUGGAAAAAAACAAGUGUAUAAGUAACAUGCACGUCUUACCGUUACCAAAGCAGAAAGCCCCGGCUAACUACUU